CCUGCGGGCUGGAGCGGGAGCUGCGUCCUGCUCGGGCUACUGCUUUUGCAUGUGGAGAAGGAAUAAAGCUUGAAGCCCCGGGGCUGCCGCCUUGGGGGAACGCUCCUGCCGGAACCCGGGGUCAACCGGAAGUCUGUGAACUGCGACCCCGGGAGGGAGCUCCCUCAGCGGCCUGGGGCCAGGAGUUGAAAUCACACUUUUCCUCGUGACAGGACCCUGUUUUCUCAGCAAUGAUCGUCUUUACUCAGAUGCACUUCUGAGACAGUUUUCACUCACUCUCUGGGCGAUUUCCAUACAGUGGCGCUGGAGACUGGUCUAGAAAUGGAUGGCCAGUUUUUAUUCAAUGAAUGGAGCAUCAGUAAGCAUAAUAGAGAAAUCGAUUUGUAUUUGUUUCUGGCCAAAAUAUAACCUUUUUAUUAUACAAGUCCUGGCCAAUAUUAAGAUUUGCUGGCGUUUGCUGAGAACACACUGAUUUGCAAGGACAGAGCCCCAGUCAUUGACCUGGCAGAAACUUAGUUCCCUCCUGUAUCCACAUGCAACCACCAUAUGCCAUUGUUACCACGGGAUAGCUUCUAAAAGCUGAGAUGCAAGGUUUCAGAUUUCCUGUGGGAGAAUGGCUUCAAGAGUUAGGCUUAGGGUCUUAGUUUGCUUUGGCUGCGGUAACACAGUAUCCAGUCUGGGUGGCUUAAACAACAGUUGCUUUUUUUCUCAGAGUUCUGGAAGUCUGAGAUCAAGGUGCUAGACAUCUGAGACCACAGUUUCCCAUUUUAGUCAAUGAGUCAUGAUCCAUAUUAUCAUUAUUUAUUUUGAUAAAUGUAUCGAUCAUAUAUAUUUAUAAGUGAUAGGGGUAUCAGUGGGUUGGUUUCUUUUGAGGUCUUUCUCCUUGGCUUGCACAUGCUCAUCUUCUCCCUUUGUCUUCACAUGGUCUUUCUUUUGUGCACGUCUGUGGCUAAUUUCCUCUUCUUUUUUGCUUUUGUUUUUGUUUUUUUGAGGAAGAUUAGCCCUCGGCUAACAUCCGCUGCCAAUCCUCCUCUUUUUUUGCUGAGGAAGACUGGCCCUGAGCGAACAUCCACGCCCAUCUUCCUCUAUUUUAUAUAUGGGAUGCCUAC
rnacentral:lncRNA from 1 species